UCUUUGAUUUUGCUCUGAGUUCACUUCAGACGGAAAAGCCUAGAGUUUAUUUGUUGAAGAUGAUGAUGACGACUCAUGAUCAACAUAGUGGUGGUCGAUGGCAUUCAUAAAGGGUGAUUCUAUUCAGGUGGUGGUCGUAGGGAGAGAUUUAUCAGUAGUUUCAGGAAGCAGUGGCGGCAGAAUCUUCGGUUGGCGGUAGUGGUGGUGGGAUGGCUGGCUACCUUGGAUAACAGUUGCCAUCGCUGGUCUUGCCUUGGUUGCCCUGCGUACACUGAUACACUCUCUUAGAAAACAGUUUGAGAAGUCGAGGAAACAGUGUAAACGUGCAUCUUUUUAAAGCGCAUUGGUGAUGUGCGUGUUCAACAGAUUGGAGCAAUGGUACGGACAACAAUGGGGACACUGAGUGUUGACGAAGAUCCAGAUUCAGCUGCUCCGAAGGAUGUGACUGCAGAGGAGUCCUCCUCGACUGUCAAAAGAGAGCCCAGAAUGUGAGGACUCUAGUGGUAACCAGGUUCUCUGAUAAAUUUUCCUCAUUGCGCCAACUCAACAAGACAACAAUGAGAGUGGAAUCACAAGGGU